rnacentral:rRNA from 1 species
GACGAACGCUGGCGGCGUGCUUAACACAUGCAAGUCGAACGGAGCGAAUGAAAGCUUGCUUUUAUGAGCUUAGUGGCAAACGGGUGAGUAACACGUAGGCAACCUGCCAAUAGGAUGGGGACAACAUUCCGAAAGGAAUGCUAAUACCGAAUGAAGCGAGAGGGAGGCAUCUCCUUUUCGUGAAAGAUGGCCUCUAUAUAUAAGCUAUCACCUAUUGAUGGGCCUGCGUCUGAUUGGCUAGUAGGUAAGGUAACGGCUUACCUAGGCGACGAUCAGUAGCCGGUCUGGGAGGAUGAACGGCCACAUUGGGUCUGAGACACGGCCCAGACUCCUACGGGAGGCAGCAGUGGGGAAUCUUCCGCAAUGGGCGCAAGCCUGACGGAGCAACGCCGCGUGAGUGAAGAAGGUCUUCGGAUCGUAAAAGCUCUG